rnacentral:lncRNA from 1 species
GAAGAAAAAUGAAUCAAACUUGAACUCUGUCACACAGAUCACACAGCCAAAUUCCUGACUGGAAGUAAUCAGAAGCUUCAUUUUGGAGUGGUGAUUAUCUGGAUCACCUUUAGUGAGCAUUAUAGAUAUUUGGAUUUAUAUACACAGUUUGACCUAUUUGGUUUUAAUCCAAUUAAAUGUGCUUGUUUUUAUUUUGUAUUGUUAUGCUUCUGUCAGUUGCAUAAAAUAUUCUUGUGUGCAAUGGUUGAUAUUUUACAGGAAGAAUAUUGCUUUUCUGGUCUGUGAUGAAUUUCAUGAUGAACUUGAUUUCGUUAUUUUUGUAAUUGCCCUGUUGCUUUCAGCAACAUCUGCCUUCAAAAUUGCAAUUCACAGAAGAGCAUCUUUCCAUGAUGAAAAUUUGGCCAGAAUAUUCUGCAUCAGGUAGUUAGAUUAUUUUCUAGUGUUCUAGUGAAAUGCAUUUGUGUUGUCUGGGCUAUUGGUGAACUUCAUAGUUUUUA